rnacentral:rRNA from 1 species
GAUGAACGCUGGCGGCGUGCCUAAUACAUGCAAGUCGAGCGAACAGAUAAGGAGCUUGCUCCUUUGACGUUAGCGGCGGACGGGUGAGUAACACGUGGAUAACCUACCUAUAAGACGGGGAUAACUUCGGGAAACCGGAGCUAAUACCGGAUAACAUAUUGAACCGCAUGGUUCAAUAGUGAAAGGCGGCUUUGCUGUCACUUAUAGAUGGAUCCGCGCCGUAUUAGCUAGUUGGUAAGGUAACGGCUUACCAAGGCAACGAUCCGUAGCCGACCUGAGAGGGUGAUCGGCCACACUGGAACUGAGACACGGUCCAGACUCCUACGGGAGGCAGCAGUAGGGAAUCUUCCGCAAUGGGCGAAAGCCUGACGGAGCAACGCCGCGUGAGUGAUGAAGGUCUUCGGAUCGUAAAACUCUGUUAUCAGGGAAGAACAAAUGUGGAAGUAACUGUGCACAUCUUGACGGUACCUGAUCAGAAAGCAACGGCUAACUUCGUG